rnacentral:rRNA from 1 species
UACGGAGGGGGCUAGCGUUGUUCGGAAUUACUGGGCGUAAAGCGCGCGUAGGCGGCUUUGUGAGUUAGAGGUGAAAGCCCAGGGCUUAACCCUGGAAUUGCCUUUAAGACUGCAUCGCUAGAAUCGUGGAGAGGUGAGUGGAAUUCCGAGUGUAGAGGUGAAAUUCGUAGAUAUUCGGAAGAACACCAGCGGCGAAGGCGACUCACUGGACACGUAUUGACGCUGAGGUGCGAAAGCGUGGGGAGCAAACAGG